AACGAACGCUGGCGGCAGGCCUAACACAUGCAAGUCGAACGCACCGCAAGGUGAGUGGCGCACGGGUGAGUAACACGUGGGAAUGUACCCUUUGGUUCGGAAUAACGUCUGGAAACGGACGCUAAUACCGGAUGAGCCCUGUGGGGGAAAGAUUUAUCGCCAAAGGAGCAGCCCGCGUCUGAUUAGCUAGUUGGUGGGGUAAAGGCCUACCAAGGCGACGAUCAGUAGCUGGUCUGAGAGGAUGAUCAGCCACACUGGGACUGAGACACGGCCCAGACUCCUACGGGAGGCAGCAGUGGGGAAUAUUGGACAAUGGGCGAAAGCCUGAUCUAGCCAUGCCGCGUGAGUGAUGAAGGCCUUCGGGUUGUAAAGCUCUUUCGCACGCGACGAUGAUGACGGUAGCGUGAGAAGAAGCCCCGGCUAACUUCGUGCCAGCAGCCGCGGUAAAAC
rnacentral:rRNA from 1 species